rnacentral:tRNA from 1 species
AAGCCCCGGAGAAAUUUCUUCUCCCUUUAAAAUUUGCAAUUUUAUGUGCUGAACACCACGAGGCU